rnacentral:lncRNA from 1 species
UGACUUGUUUAUGGAAGAUUUAUUCAAAAUAGCCAAAAAUAGAAACAACCCAAAAGCCCAUCAGAAGAAUGAACAAAAAUGGCAUAUUCAUACAGUGGAAUACCAUACAGAAAUAAAGGAGCAAGCUAUUUGAUAAAAGCAACAACAUGAGUGAAAGUCAAAGACAUUUUGGUGAGCAAAAGAAGCCAAACACAAAAGAAUACCUACAAUUUGAGAUUUCACUCACAUGUGGAAUUGAAGAAGAAAAAAAAUAAACAUAGGGGAAGGGAAGGAAAAAUGAAAUAAGAUAAAAACAGGGAGGUAAACCACAAGAGACUCUGAAUCAUAGGAAACAAACUGGGGUUCCUGGAGGGGAAGUGGAGGGGAGGAUGGGGUGACUGAGUGAUGGGCAUUAAGGAGAGCACUUGAUGGAAUGAGCACUGGGUGUUAUAUGCAACUGAUGAAUCACUAAAUUCUACCCCAAAAUUAAUAAUACAUGUUAACUAAAUUAAAUUUAAAUUUAAAAAAUCUACUGUAUGAGUCCAUUUAUACAAAAUUUAAAAACUGGAAAGCUACUGGUUGAGCAGACUGUGGUGACUGGGAAGGGAUAUGAAGGAACUUUCUGGGAUGACGAAAAUAUUUUAUAACAUUGUAGGAUUGUAUACAACUGUAAAAAUAUAAGCACAUAUUAUUGAGCUAUCCCCUGGAAAUGUUUACAUUUUGCUACACAUAAAUUAUGCUUCAAUUUUAAAAAGGGAAAAAAAGAAUCCCACAUGGAACCCCAAAUAUACGCAACCCAGAUGGGUUCUGGGAACUCCCCAGUCAAAAAGAUCCAGUUUGGAGAGGACGAAACUCUAUGCCUCCCCAGGAGUUUGGCUGAGCCCUAAGGGUUCAUCCUCUUGAUUCCCUGCUGUCCACUCAAUUUUGCUACACAGCAAUCCAGGGAUGAAAUUCUGACAAUGAGCUCCCUCACACACACACACGCACACACACACACCCCACAAACACACACACAUCCACUUCUGCCAAGCAUUUUGCAAGUUUAGUCAACUUUUUGCAGAUUUGAGGUUCAAAGUCAUACAGAGUGGUCUCAUCAUAACUGUCUCCCCUUCUUUCUAAAUGCAGAAUAAAAACUGCUUUUCUCAAGCCAAGAUGCCAGCCAAAACCCAGACCACAGAGUCACAGCUUUCUCCCCAAAAGGCCUGGACAAGGAAAAUCUUUCAUGAGAAUAGAGCACUCCUUCUGAAAGGAAUUGUGGGAGAUACACAACUCCCUCUUCUCUAUGCUUAGCCACACUACUCUGGUUGAAGCAAAUAGCAGAGGCAAAGCCUUUAUGGGUAGCUAACUGCUCUUUGCCCCUCCCCAUUUCCUCUCACCCUGGCCUCUAGGCCCCGGGGGAGCUCUGAGAAACCUUGAGAGUCCCUUGAGGGCAAUUUGAAAACCACUGCAGUAGCUCUGGGGAGGAAAGAUUGACAAAACUGUGAGUUUGAGAAAGUAGCCAUUUGCCCUGCAUUUGGAGUUGGAGUAGAGCAGUGAGAGAUUCUAGUUACAUGAGUGUUGAUGGUACUGGAUGCUUUGGGGUCUGCUAAAAGAAUAAAAUUUUUCACCUGUUUUCCAUGACCUAUCUUCAAUCAACCUUACCUCUUACUUUCCCCCUCACCAUGAAGAUAAUGAGGAGUAGUAACUUUGCCCUCCUUUUGGGCACGCAAUUCAAAUGGGGUCUUUACAACCAUUUUUAAGGAAACAUGCUGAUGCAGUGGUAGCUGAGACUCUAAUGGAAAAUAUUAGAGGAAGCAGUAUAAAAGCAAGACCAAAAGGGACACCUGCGUGGCUCAGUGGUUGAGCAUCUGCCUUCAGCUCAGGGCGCGAUCCCAGGGUCUGGGGAUCCAGUCCUGCUUCUCCCUCUGCCUAUGCCUCUCUCUCUGUGUGUCUCAUAAAUAAAUAAAUAAAAUCUUAAAAAAAAAAAAAAAGCAAGACCAAGAGAUACAUAAACAAGGUGUUUAAAAGGUAGUGCUUCUUUACCUCAGCUUUUUUUGGAUGUACUUACAUACAACAAAGUCUACCCAUUUUAAGUGUACAAUUUCAUGAAUUUUGGUAAUUGUAUAUCAUUGCAUAAUCACGACCACAAUCUAGAUACAGAAUAGUUCCGUCUCCUGAAACAUUUCCUGUGCCCCUUUGCAGUAGUUCCUUUCUCCUACCCCAGCCAGAGCAACCUCUGAUUUGUUUUUGUCGCUAUAAUUUUGCCUUUUCUAGGGUUUCAUAUAAAUGGAAUGAUAUAGUACAUAGUCUUUUGUGUUUGACUUCUUCUACUUGACUUCUUUUCACUUUGAGCUAUUUUUAACCUAUAUUACCUAUAUUAUUAAAUAUAUUACUAUUUUGUCCUUUUUUAUUGUUGAGUAGUACUCUAUAGUAUGGAUUGUUUAAUCUAUUAAACAAUUGUUUAAUCUAUUUACCAGUUGAUUGACAUCUGGAUCACUUUCAGUUUGGGGCUGUUAUGAAUAAUGCAGCUAUGAACAUUUGUACACAAGUCUUUUUGUGGACACAUGUUUUCACUUCUCUUGGGUAAAUACCUAGGAGUGGAAAUGAUGGGGUGUAUAUAUAGUAAGUGAGUGAAUAUUUACCCAGUCAUGGGUGGAAACAUAGCUAGGGAAGUCCAGAGCCCAGAGCCUGUGUCAAAAGCUGUAGAUAAGCUACAAUUCUCAGUAUUUUCAUGAUUCAAGAGUCCUAAGCCAACAACAAAAUAAGACCUACUUUGGAGCCUGUGUAACCUGUGUAACCCAGUAGAGUACCACCCCAUAGGAAAGCCCACAACCCAGCUUCCCACAAGGGAAACCUCCCAUAAAGAUCAUUCCUAAACCUCCCAUAAAGAUCAUUCCUAAACCUCCCAUAAAGAUCAUUCCUGUGGAAGAUGAGCUCAUCAUAUAAAACAUACAAGAAUGUCCAGUUCCAUUAAGAUAGCCAGAAAAUUGAUACCAAAAACAAUAUCCAAUAGAGCAAUCUUAAAGGUAUUUUAAAAUGUGCAUUUAAUUAAUUAGUUAACAUUAGUUAACUAGUUAAUUAGUUAACAUUCAUUGUUCUUUUUUUUAUAUUCAUCGUUCUGCUUUUCUUUUCUGCACAUCCUUGUAUGUGACUCUUCCAUACUACCUUGAGAAAAGCUAGAAUAUUACAGUAGAAAUUCAAAGACAAAAGUAGUAUUUGCUUUAGGUCAGUUUUUGCUUCCAAAAUAAAUUUUUGAGAAUCAACAGGGAAUAUCCAAGAGUAACAGUCACAGAC